rnacentral:rRNA from 1 species
GACGUAGGUGACCAGCGUUGUCCGGAUUUACUGGGCGUAAAGAGCGCGCAGGCGGUCCAAUAAGUCGAGUGUGAAAGCCCCCGGCUCAACUGGGGAGGGUCAUUCGAUACUGAUGGACUUGAAGGCAGGAGAGGGAAGCGGAAUUCCCGGUGUAGUGGUGAAAUGCGUAGAUAUCGGGAGGAACACCAGUGGCGAAGGCGGCUUCCUGGCCUGUUCUUGACGCUGAGGCGCGAAAGCUAGGGGAGCAAACGGG